rnacentral:rRNA from 1 species
ACUACAGGAUUCCCCUAGUAACGGCGAGUGAAGCGGGAUGAGCUCAAGCUUAAAAUCUCUGUCACAAAUUUAUUUUGUGCGGCGAAUUGUAGUCUAUAGAGGCGUGAUCAGUGUAGGCGCUUGAGGUAAGUUCCUUGAAAAAGGACAGCAUGGAGGGUGAAACUCCCGUUCAUACUUAAGUGGCUUGCACGUACGAUUCGUUUUCUUUGAGUCGCGUUGUUUGAGAAUGCAGCGCAAAGUAGGUGGUAAAUUCCAUCUAAAGCUAAAUAUUGGUGCGAGACCGAUAGCGAACAAGUACCGUGAGGGAAAGAUGAAAAGAACUCUGAAAAGAGAGUUAAAGAGUACCUGAAACUGCUGAAAGGGAACCAAAUCGUUUCUAGUGUCUAUAAUCUAUGACAUAUUUCAUUGGGAAGUGUGUGCGUGUGUAUACUAUGGCAGCGGCUUUUUUAGUUGCGCUUGGUGUGCGUGCUGUAUGUACUAACUGAUGCCCUGUGUUAUAGUGGGACGUCAAGGUCAGUUUGUAUACUGCGGGAAAUGGCUACUGAGGAGGUAGGGCUUACGCUUGCGUUUGUCUAUUAUAUCUUGGUAGUUGUGUCGUGGUUGAGACUGAGGUGUUCUACAACGUGCUUAUGAGUGGGUCUACGUCUCCGUGUGCGCCGUGUGCAGAUAGCUUGCUAUGUGUAUGUGGUGGUGUGUGGAUUGAUAUGGGCUUUAUCUUACUGCCGUUCGGGACUUUGACGAAAUAGAGCGAUUUGACCCGUCUUGAAACACGGACCAAGGAGUCUAACAUAUGUGCAAGUGUUAGGGUGUGGAAACCCCAGCGCGAAAUGAAAGUAAAGGAUAGUGUAAACUAUCUUAGGUAGGAAACGUUAUGAACUUCGGUUUGUGGCGUGGCACUAUCGACCGAUCAUGAACCCUCGUGGUGAAAGAUUUGAGUUUGAGCACAUAUGUUGGUACCCGAAAGAUGGUGAACUAUGCCUGAGUAGGGGAARCCAGGGAAACUCUG